UACGGGGGGGGCAAGCGUUGUUCGGAAUUACUGGGCGUAAAGGGCUCGUAGGCGGCCAACUAAGUCAGACGUGAAAUCCCUCGGCUUAACCGGGGAACUGCGUCUGAUACUGGAUGGCUUGAAUCCGGGAGAGGGAUGCGGAAUUCCAGGUGUAGCGGUGAAAUGCGUAGAUAUCUGGAGGAACACCGGUGGCGAAGGCGGCGUUCUGGACUGCAUCUGACACUGAAAGACGAAAGCCAGGGGAGCAAACGGG
rnacentral:rRNA from 1 species